rnacentral:rRNA from 1 species
CCUACGGGUGGCUGCAGUGAGGAAUAUUGGUCAAUGGACGAGAGUCUGAACCAGCCAAGUAGCGUGAAGGAUGACUGCCCUAUGGGUUGUAAACUUCUUUUAUAUGGGAAUAAAAUGUUCCACGUGUGGGAUUUUGUAUGUACCAUAUGAAUAAGGAUCGGCUAACUCCGUGCCAGCAGCCGCGGUAAUACGGAGGAUCCGAGCGUUAUCCGGAUUUAUUGGGUUUAAAGGGAGCGUAGGUGGAUUGUAAAGUCAGUUGUGAAAGUUUGCGGCUCAACCGUAAAAUUGCAGUUGAAACUGGCAGUCUUGAGUACAGUAGAGGUGAGCGGAAUUCGUGGUGUAGCGGUGAAAUGCUUAGAUAUCACGAAGAACUCCGAUUGCGAAGGCAGUUCACUGGACUGCAACUGACACUGAGGCUCGAAAGUGUGGGUAUCAAACAGGAUUAGAUACCCGUGUAGUC